UACGUAGGGGGCUAGCGUUGUUCGGAAUUACUGGGCGUAAAGCGCGCGCAGGCGGUCUUCCAAGUCAGUGGUGAAAGCCCGGAGCUCAACUCCGGAACUGCCAUUGAAACUGUUGGACUUGAGUAUGAGAGAGGUGAGUGGAAUUCCCAGUGUAGUGGUGAAAUACGUAGAGAUUGGGAAGAACACCAGUGGCGAAGGCGGCUAUCUGGACGGUUUCUGACACUAAGACUCGAAAGCGUGGGGAGCAAACAGG
rnacentral:rRNA from 1 species